GCCCCCCAGCCGUGCCCGCGUCCCGGUGCUGCAUGGCGCUGCUCAGCCUGCCUUGCAGAGGGAGCUCGAGUCCCGCUCUGCGCCUCGCAGCGCCUCUCACUCCGCAGCACACGCCAGCGCAGCGAGGCGGCGGCCGGCAGGAGCGGGACACGCAGCCGCCGCCGCCGCCGCCGCCCCGCGGCCGGGAACCGGCCGGAACAGCCGAGGGACGCGAACGGGCGGAGGGCGCCGGGGCCGAGCACCGCAGAGUAGCGUUGUUGCCGACCCAUAGCUGAUUGACAGGCAAGCAGAGAGGAGGGAAGAAUUCUAUGAGCUCGUGCUGCAUCCUCAUUGUGCUUUCUUACCACAAAAAACGUGUGAAAUGGAGCGAGGGUAAUGGGUUAAAAUAUUAAUAGUCCAAAAAUAAGAUGCAUUGGAAGGAAGCUGCGGUUUUUGCUCCUUUUACCUCUCAGUCCCUGGAGGGCAGUAAGGCCAGGAAUUCAGGGAGAAGACUACGUGUAAAGUAAACCUCGACACAGGACCUGUGCUAGUGGGACUAAAGGGUGGCUGUUACAGCUGGAACUGGUACUAAAAAUCCUGCCCCUAAUUUUUGCCUUUUGAGAUGUCACUGCAGGGCAGACUAAAAGCUGUUCAACAGCCGAGGCUUUACCCUGACCUGCUUUACAAGGGACAAAACCAUCAAACAAACAUGGCAUACAUUAACGUGUAAACUGUGCCCUUAAAUCCUGGUCUGAAUAA